rnacentral:rRNA from 1 species
GACGAACGCUGGCGGCGUGCUUAACACAUGCAAGUCGAACGGAAAGGCCCUGCUUGCAGGGUGCUCGAGUGGCGAACGGGUGAGUAACACGUGGGUGAUCUGCCCCUUACUUUGGGAUAAGCCUGGGAAACUGGGUCUAAUACUGGAUAGGACCAUGCUGUAGGUGGUGUGGUGGAAAGAUUAGUUUCGGUAAGGGAUGAGCUCGCGGCCUAUCAGCUUGUUGGUGGGGUAAUGGCCUACCAAGGCGUCGACGGGUAGCCGGCCUGAGAGGGUGGACGGCCACAUUGGGACUGAGAUACGGCCCAGACGCCUACGGGAGGCAGCAGUGGGGAAUAUUGCACAAUGGGCGCAAGCCUGAUGCAGCGACGCCGCGUGGGGGAUGACGGCCUUCGGGUUGUAGACUCCUUUCAGCCAUGACGAAGCCCUUGUGGUGACGGUAGUGGUAGAAGAAGCACCGGCUAACUACGUG